rnacentral:rRNA from 1 species
AAUCAACGCUGGCGGCGUGCCUCAGACAUGCAAGUCGAACGAUUAAAGCUCUCUUCGGAGAGUGUAUAGAGUGGCGCACGGGUGAGUAACACGUAAGUAAUCUGCCUUUGGAGUGGGGAAUAACCCGGGGAAACCCGAGCUAAUACCGCAUAAUGCAGCGGCACCGCAAGGUGACAGUUGUUAAAGCGAGUAAUCGCGCUUAAAGAGGAGCUUGCGGCAGAUUAGCUAGUUGGUAAGGUAACGGCUUACCAAGGCUACGAUCUGUAUCCGGUCUAAGAGGACGGUCGGACACACUGACACUGAAUAACGGGUCAGACUCCUACGGGAGGCAGCAGUCGGGAAUUUUGGGCAGUGGGCGAAAGCCUGACCCAGCAACGCCGCGUGAAGGAUGAAGUAUUU